UAAUACAGAGGGGGCAAGCGUUGUUCGGAAUUACUGGGCGUAAAGGGCGCGUAGGCGGCCUUCUAAGUCAGACGUGAAAUCCUUCGGCUCAACCGGGGAACUGCGUCUGAGACUGGAAGGCUUGAAUCCGGGAGAGGGAUGUGGAAUUCCAGGUGUAGCGGUGAAAUGCGUAGAUAUCUGGAGGAACACCGGUGGCGAAGGCGGCAUCCUGGACCGGUAUUGACGCUGAUGCGCGAAAGCCAGGGGAGCAAACGGGAUUAGAUACCCCGGUAGUCCUGGCCCUAAACGAUGAAUGCUUGGUGUGGCGGGUAUCGAUCCCUGCCGUGCCGAAGCUAACGCAUUAAGCAUCCCGCCUGGGGAGUACGGUCGCAAGGCU
rnacentral:rRNA from 1 species